rnacentral:misc_RNA from 1 species
GGUGGGGCCAUGACAAAUUUCCAAAAGAGACACCUCUUGUUUUUUAUCGUGCUGGCCAACCGAUACUUCCUCCUCUUGGGUUGUUUGAUGGACUUAAAGCUGUUCUUGACAAUAUGGUCUCAUAUAUACAAAAAGAAGUUCCUGGCAAGACUCUCAAGUUUUGGCGGCUGCAAUCACCGCGGCAUUUUUAUGGCGGUGAGUGGAACCAAAAUGGAAGUUGCUUGUUCAAUGAGCCCCUCAAGGAAUAUGAGCUUGAUUUGUGGUUUGAUCCCAGCAAGAAUGGAGUGAAUAAAGAAGCAAGGCAAAUUAAUCAUGCAAUUAAACAGAAGUUGCAAGGCACAGAUAUUCACUUGCUGGAUCUGACUUAUUUGAGUGAAUAUAGAGCAGAUGCGCACCCUGCAAUCUGGUUAGGGAAGAAAGAUGCUGUGGCAAUCUGGGGUCAGGAUUGCAUGCACUGGUGCCUACCUGGUGUUCCUGACACAUGGGUUGACAUCUUGUCAGAGCUUAUCCGUCAAGGUGUUUCGAGGAACUGAUAAAGAGAGAAGGCUACAUUAACAAGUUGUAUCCAGAUUUUGUUUUGCGGAUUUCUGUACAUUACACGGUAAAAUGCAAUGGAGUUCAUGGACCAAUUUAUAGAAUCUGGCUAUCAGAAUACAGGCUGGUGUUUUAGACAGACAUCCUGAUGAUAUUACUUCCAGGAGAUUCAGAUGGAAUAAUCUUCCUUACAUCGUUUUCACGUUGAUGUUCUGAAGGGAACUAAAUUUGUUCCCAGUUGUAAACAGAUGAGUGAGAUUUUGGAACAGGAAAAAAAAAAGGGGGAAAUAAGAAAUUCUUUAGGGUGGUGAAAUAGGUGAUUGGAAGGGUUAUUGAAUGACUGCAUUUUUCUUCCACAUGUUCCUGUACGUUUCAAUUGUCUAAUUUCUGUACACAAUUAUUUCUUUCAAUUUAUAUUUCACUCUUCUUCUCUUGAAAAAAAUAAUUGUGUACAGAAAUUAGACAAUU